rnacentral:rRNA from 1 species
AGAGUUUGAUCAUGGCUCAGAAUCAACGCUGGCGGCGUGCCUAACACAUGCAAGUCGAACGAGAAAGUGGAGCAAUCCAUGAGUAAAGUGGCGCACGGGUGAGUAACACGUGACUAACCUACCCUUGAGUGGGGGAUAACCUCGGGAAACCUUGGCUAAUACCGCAUAACACCUACGGGUCAAAGGAGCAAUUCGCUUAAGGAGGGGGUCGCGGCAGAUUAGUUAGUUGGCGGGGUAAUGGCCCACCAAGACAGUGAUCUGUAUCCGGCCUGAGAGGGCGCACGGACACACUGGAACUGAAACACGGUCCAGACUCCUACGGGAGGCAGCAGUGGGGAAUUUUGCGCAAUGGGGGAAACCCUGACGCAGCAACGCCGCGUGGAGGAUGAAGUCCCUUGGGACGUAAACUCCUUUCGACCGGGACGAUUAUGACGGUACCGGAAGAAGAAGCCCCGGCUAACUUCGUGCCAGCAGCCGCGGUAAUAC